UACGUAGGGUCCGAGCGUUGUCCGGAAUUAUUGGGCGUAAAGGGCUCGUAGGCGGUCUGUUGCGUCGGGAGUGAAAACUUACAGCUUAACUGUGAGCGUGCUUCCGAUACGGGCAGACUUGAGGUAUUCAGGGGAGAACGGAAUUCCUGGUGUAGCGGUGAAAUGCGCAGAUAUCAGGAGGAACACCGGUGGCGAAGGCGGUUCUCUGGGAAUAUCCUGACGCUGGAGGAGCGAAAGUGUGGGAGGCGAACAGG
rnacentral:rRNA from 1 species